UACAGAGGGUGCAACGUUGUUCGGAAUUAUGGUGCGUAAAGCGCGUGUAGGCGGCCAUCUAAGUCGGGCGUGAAAUCCCACGGCUCAACCUGGAAGUGCACUCGAAACUGGAUGGCUAGAGUCCUGGAGAGGAAGGUGGAAUGCUUGGUGUAGAGGUAAAAUUCGUAGAUAUCAAGCGGAACACCGGUGGCGAAGGCGGCCUUCUGGACAGUGACUGACGCUGAGACGCGAAAGCGUGGGGAGCAAACAGG
rnacentral:rRNA from 1 species